rnacentral:rRNA from 1 species
CUACGAAGGGGGCUAGCGUUGCUCGGAAUCACUGGGCGUAAAGGGUGCGUAGGCGGGUCUUUUAAGUCAGGGGUGAAAGUCCUGGAGCUCAACUCCCAGAACUGCCUUUGAUACUGAAGAUCUUGAGUUCGGGAGGAGGUGAGUGGAACUGCGAGUGUAGAGGUGAAUUCGUAGAUAUUCGCAAGAACACCAGUGGCGAAGGCGGACUCGACUGACCCGAGUACCUG